UACGAGGGGGGCGAGCGUUGUUCGGAAUUAUUGGGCGUAAAGGGCGCGUAGGCGGUGCGGUAAGUCACCUGUGAAACCUCUAGGCUUAACCUAGAGCCUGCAGGCGAAACUGCCGUGCUGGAGUGUGGGAGAGGUGCGUGGAAUUCCCGGUGUAGCGGUGAAAUGCGCAGAUAUCAGGAGGAACACCGGUGGCGAAGGCGGUGGUCUGGGCCGGAACUGACGCUGAGGCGCGAAAGCUAGGGGAGCAAACAGG
rnacentral:rRNA from 1 species